rnacentral:tRNA from 1 species
GAGGGUAUAGCUCAGUGGUAGAGCACAUGAGCACGAGGGCCUGGGUUCAAUCCCCAGAACUUCCA